UCAAUGGCGACGACACCAGCAGAAACCCAACGAGUCUUGAAUUCUCAGUUUUUUUUGUAGGUUUAGAUGGUAUGGAAUGAUGUGAAUUUGUUCUGGAAUGCAAGUUUUAAAGAAUGCUUGGACUUCUUGCAUUGUAUUUUGUGGCAUGAAGCUUGGGUUGAAUUCAUGUUUAAUUGGCUUAAUGUUGAUGAAAUAGGUGAUGCUCAAGGCUGCUGGUUUUGUAAGUUUGUACCCAGUUGAAAGCAU